GACGAACGCUGGCGGCGUGCUUAACACAUGCAAGUCGAACGGAAAGGCCCUGCUUUUGUGGGUGCUCGAGUGGCGAACGGGUGAGUAACACGUGAGUAACCUGCCCUUGACUUUGGGAUAACCUCAGGAAACUGGGGCUAAUACCGGAUAGGAGCUCCUGCUGCAUGGUGGGGGUUGGAAAGUUUCGGCGGUUGGGGAUGGACUCGCGGCUUUUCAGCUUGUUGGUGGGGUAGUGGCUUACCAAGGCUUUGACGGGUAGCCGGCCUGAGAGGGUGACCGGCCACAUUGGGACUGAGAUACGGCCCAGACUCCUACGGGAGGCAGCAGUGGGGAAUAUUGCACAAUGGGCGGAAGCCUGAUGCAGCAACGCCGCGUGCGGGAUGACGGCCUUCGGGUUGUAAACCGCUUUCGCCUGUGACGAAGCGUGAGUGACGGUAAUGGGUAAAGAAGCACCGGCUAACUACGUG
rnacentral:rRNA from 1 species